ACUACUGGGUUGACAUUUUUUUCUUCCCGAGUUCUUUCAUUCGUAAAGAUUUGACAGGGUCAGGAGAAUGACCUUAAAGCCCUUGGCCCCCCAAAAAGCUUUCAUUAAAAUCUGGCUAUUUGGAGGGCCGUCUAAACUCGACAGAUCUCCAGAGAACUUCACUCUGGCCUGCCUUAAGCUUACCUGUAAGCCUUUGAGCUGUAACUUAGGCCCACCUUUCUCUAAUAUGCUCAGGAAUUGAAGAAAUCGUGCCCCACAUUCACCAUCAUGCGGCUCCUACCUCCUUGCCACUCGGGGCCAAAACCCCUGCGAGGGGUCAGAUUCUCAUCCCAAGGUCUGGGAAGUGGUGUUCCCAAGCCAGCAGCUUCUGAGCCUUCAUCUGCAUCUGGUUUGCAUAAACCGUCCUCCCCUCCCACUCUGGACCACGCGCACGGGGGCUCUCCCCAUCACAGCACCCACCCUGGCUCACCCCCGCUUGCAGCGCCCCCUGCCGGCGACAGGGCCCGGCGCUCUGCGGUGAUCCCUAGCUGCAGCCUCCCGUGAGGCCGAGGACCGUGGCGGAGGGGUGGAGGCGGUCGCCCUGCACGGGAGCCCGCGGGUCUGACCGACACCGUGCGCGAACAAUAUGCCACCAUUUAAGUCUGAACGCGAGCCAGCCGCCGAUUGUGAUGUUAAUUCGGCGAUGAUUUAGGGGGGCGGGACGGAGCGGGGCCGGCCGCCUCUCUGUCAAAGUGCUGUCCGGGGACCUUAAUAUUAGUAAUUGAAGCUGAUGAGGACUCCGUCUCUGUUUCUACUGAUAAAAAAUAAAAAAUAAAAAGGCAGGGAGGGAAAAGGAGCAACUAAAUUAUAGGGCCGGGAGAAAAACAUGAUUAAUCAAAGGUUUGAACUGUCGCCGUGCUCGAGGCCCAGUAAAUCUCGCCGGCCGGGGCGUGUGGAGGCCGGAGGAUAAAUCUGAGCCCCGUGGAGUUUGCCGCCCCUUACUGUUUGCCACUCGCGUCGCACGUCAAUUAAUUCGAUAAUUGGAUUUGAAGAGAUGUCAGAAGAUUAUCCAGGGGGAGCGGGAAGAGCGGUUGCCAGGGUCUGCGAUGGGCAGCGGAGGCGAGCGAGCACCGAGGCCGGUAGAGGGACGGGAGAGCCAGGCAGGCCUGUCCGGAUCCUUCACGCAAUUAGCCUGUGCUCAGCUCUGCAGCAGCCCCCGAAAAGGCGGCUGCCUGAGCUGGGGCCUCAGGAAAAUGCCUUCACAGACACAUACACACCAGGCCCCUAGCUUCAGUCUGACAAGAAAAUGCCACUGAAAUUCAGUCCUUCGGCAACUUCAGGUGGAUCCCCCAAAAGGCUGCACAGGGGAGUAAACUUGUUUCUCUACGAGGGAGCACGGCACUGUCAGGGAGACCUGAGCUCCAGAGAUCAUCUUCUACCAGAGCCUCACCGACUGCUGCUGACUUCUUCCCCUUGAUCCUUUGACCUUCAAUGGAUGUUGCAGCCUCUGUGAUCCUGACCCGAAGAAGAUGUAACUAAGUUACAGCACAUCGCUACAUCCCUGUGAUCCCUUUUCUUCUGUUAGGGUCUUUGGGCUGCCAGGGAUACUCAAUGGUAGCACAUUUGAAUCAUACUCUGUAUUGAUCUCAGUAGGAAGAUCCUUAGGGCCAUUUGUGUGUGGGAGUGGGGGAUGCUGUUUAUUUUUAUUACUAUUUGGAGCACUUCCGGCAAGUGCUCUACCACUAAGAUGAACCUCCAGCCCGACAUCCUUAUUAUUUUCUUUGUUUGUUUGCUUUUAUUUUUCAAGACAAGGUUUCUCUGGGUAGCCCUGGCUGUCCUAGAACUCUAUCUGUAGGCCACGUUGGCCUUGAACACACAGGGUUUGCCUGCCUCUGCCUCCCAAGUGCUGGGAUGAAGGGUGUGUGCUGCCGCCCCGGCAAGAUCCUUAUUCUUGGGACUCCCCAGUCAGAUUUAUAAAGCAGCACAUAGUGAUUCAGGGAAAGCUGGGAAAACAGGAACAAAAAAUAGGGAUAUCUAGCUGAGGUUUCGAUUUCAUGUAGAAGGAAGAAAAACUGAAGAAAAGAUUAGACAAAUACAGAGGCAUUGAAGACUGAAAUACUGGAAGUUCAGCAGAGGCACACGGGAGAUUGUGGAGUCCGUGGGAGUGAUUAUUAGAGUUUGGAGACAGGAGGACCAGGUUUGGAGAAUCAGGAAACGGCACCACUCAGUGGUCCAGGUCAGAAACUGCACAGCAUCUCCACCCCUCCAGCACGAUAAGUCCCUAAGGUCUAUCUAUCAUUCCUCCCUUCUAAGCCUGAGCUCUGCCUACACCUCUUCAUCUGGCUAUGACCUGAGAGCUCAGGCCACCAUCAUCUCCUUCCUGGAUAUGGUAGCAGCCUCUUAUUUCUCUUAUACUUGUCUUCUGGUCUUUCUAAAAUGUCAGUCUGAGGAGUUGUGUUAUAUAUAGCACUUGUCCAGGGUGCUCAGGAUUCUGGUCUUGAUCUCCAAGUUUCAGGCUAGUCUGGAAUAUGCAGUACAGUAAGAUGCAAUCUUUGAAAAAGAAAGAAAAGAAAAAGACAUUCCAGUCUCUGUAACCUCCUACAAAAACACAAGCAUUUAUUUGUUUGUUUGUUUAUAGGCAAGGUCUCAUGAACCCCAUCCAGGUUAUUCUGAACUUGUGAGCCUCCUGCCUCCUUCUCUCAAAUGCUGCAAUCAGAGACAUGUGCUACCAUACCCACUUAUGUGGUGAUUAAACCCAGGGGUUCACACUCUCUAGGGAAGACUCUACCAACUGAACUACUGAACUAUGAAUAUCCUUGGCCAAGUUUAUAUAGAUUAUAAACUAUAUAAGAAUAAAACUCCCCAGGCAGUAGUAGUGCUCGACUUUAGUCCCAGCACU